rnacentral:rRNA from 1 species
AUGCAGUGUAUGGAAAGUCUAUUAUCUUAUGCAACGAUAAUAUGUUCAAGUCCAUCUUGAAUGGGGCCAUUAAACCCAUAGAGGGUGCCAGGCCCGUAGCAGCUAUUAUCAGUAUAAGAAGGCUUUUCCAAAGAGUCGUGUUGCUUGAUAGUGCAGCACUAAGUUGGUGGUAAACUCCAUCUAAGGCUAAAUAUGACCACAAGACCGAUAGCGAACAAGUACCGUGAGGGAAAGUUGAA